AAGACUGUAAUAUGUUCAUGCUCUUUGAC
rnacentral:piRNA from 1 species